rnacentral:sRNA from 1 species
UGUGAGCCGUCGUCUCCCUAACCUUGC